GACUAACGCUGACGGCGUGCCUAAUCUAUGCAAGUUGAUGGUUUUUAUUCGCAAGAAUAAAAACCAUGGCAGACGAGUGAGUAACGCGUAGGAACCAACCCUUUACUUGACCAUAACUCCGAGAAAUCGGAAGUAAUAGUCAAUAGUCUCUUCGGAGUAAAGGCUACGAUUUAUCGUAGUCGGUAAUGGACGGGCCUGCGUCCUAUCAGCUUGUUGGCGGGGUAAUUGCCCACCAAGGCUAUGACGGGUAGGGGGCGUGAGAGCGUGACCCCCCACGAUGGCACUGAGACACGGGCCAUACAUCUACGGAUGGCAGCAAGUAGGAAUAUUGCACAAUGAUCGCCCUAGGCGAUUGAUGCAGCGACGCCGUGUGUGGGAAGAAGCUUUUCGGAGUGUAAACCAAUGUUAAGAAGGGGCGGCUAACUUCG
rnacentral:rRNA from 1 species